rnacentral:misc_RNA from 1 species
GUUUUAAUGGGUUUCAUUUUGGCAUAUAAGGUGAUCAUUGGCCAUAUUUACUGAUUGAUCUUCUCAGAGUGGUUGAUAAAUGUCAAAUGAAACUGAAAUCUCCCACCCACUUCCCUGCUGCCUACCUCCCUCCCUCUAAACCUAAAGUAUCCCCAUAAAAAGUGGGGAUAUGUACUUUGAGAGUAUAGAUUGGUCACCUUCACUGUCAUAUUUGCAAGCAACAAUCAUUCCAAGGAGUUUAUCCAUCUUGAUGCAUGGCAGAUUUGGACUAAUCUGCCCAUGUGUGCUUGUGACAGGUUAGGUUUGAUAAAAUUAGGGAUUUUGAAGAUGAUUUCAGUAUUGAACUAAAUUGUUGGGACUGAUUAAGAAAAAAGCAGAAAUAGAAGAAUAGUGUAUAGUAGAAAAGGGCAGGAAAAAAGAUAUUAGGGAAGAAAUAGGGAGAAUAGUGUAGAACAAGAGAGUAGAGAGAACAUGUGUUAUAUUCUUCAUUGAUUAUUUCUCUCAGAUCUGAAUGCCGUUUAUAUACUUUGAAUUUUUUGUGCUUACUGCUAACUGGCAGCAUAGCUGGCAUAACUAUGUCCCUAACUUCUUAUUCCUUUUUUCUUUGAUAUGUGACAAUAGUCAUAAUACCCCUCCCUCUAGUCCCUUCUCCUCCCCAAGAACGGAUUAAUUCUGGAAAUAAGGUUUCAUCCUCCCAAAUAGCAACUGCUGCUGUCAAAUUUACUCACUGAACAAGAAUGUGACAUGCUGAUCUCUUCCCACGUAGCAUCAGCUGCAUGAUUCUCAGUGCCCUUUUUGAAGAAAAUUUUGCAAUUAAGCCUGAGUAAUUUGGUGAAACCCUUCUUGAUGUAGAACCAAUAGGGUAAUGCGGAAUGAAGGGUUGAUCUAGUGGAAGUAGGAGCAAGGAAGUCAGCAUGGGAUUGCUGAGUCCCUGGGUGGAUUGGACCUGACUCGGGAUUUGAGGGUGCGUGGGUAGUCUGAUGAGAUUUCCUAUAACAGAACACGCCGAUUGAUGUGCGGCAAGCCUAUUGGGAUCAUGUUUUUGGAAAGAAGGCAUGAGUUGUCUCAAGUCAAACUCAACCCAAAUGGAUCAAGCUCAGGCGGUCGGACUUGCUUCGCGAAGGUCUCCUAGUGCUAAGUGGUCCUGUGGUGGUGGAUUUGCAGCUAUCUAGUGACUAGUGGUGGUGUCUCUAGAAGAGAUAGUUGUUUGUGUUCAUCAUCGUGAGAAUUGUUUCACAAGGCUGUGUUUCGCGUUUCUGUUUUGCUAUGGACAAUCGGAUUUGAAAGUUUCCAGUAUCGAAAGUUGGUAGAGUUUGUGAGGCUGGGUGAUGGCAUUGUGCUUGACGCAAGCUCGAUGAAGCAAGGUUGGUGGGUUUGGUUGGUAACACAGGAAUCCUUGGAGAGGGAGAGAGGGAGAG